UGGGGAAUUUUGCACAAUGGGCGCAAGCCUGAUGCAGCGACGCCGCGUGAGGGAUGAAGGCCUUCGGGUUGUAAACCUUUUUCGCUCAUGGUCAAGCCGCAGCUUUGGGUUGUGGUGAGGGUAGUGGGUAAAGAAGCGCCGGCUAACUACGUGCCAGCAGCCGCGGUAAUACGUAGGGCGCGAGCGUUGUCCGGAAUUAUUGGGCGUAAAGGGCUUGUAGGCGGUUGGCCGCGUCUGCCGCGAAAUCCUCUGGCUUAACUGGGGGCGUGCGGUGGGUACGGGUUGACUUGAGUGCGGUAGGGGAGACUGGAAUUCCUGGUGUAGCGGUGGAAUGCGCAGAUAUCAGGAGGAACACCGGUGGCGAAGGCGGGUCUCUGGGCCGUUACUGACGCUGAGGAGCGAAAGCGUGGGGAGCGAACAGG
rnacentral:rRNA from 1 species